UGGGGAAUUUUGGACAAUGGGCGCAAGCCUGAUCCAGCCAUUCCGCGUGCAGGAUGAAGGCCUUCGGGUUGUAAACUGCUUUUGUACGGAACGAAACGGUCUGCCCUAAUACGGCAGGCUAAUGACGGUACCGUAAGAAUAAGCACCGGCUAACUACGUGCCAGCAGCCGCGGUAAUACGUAGGGUGCAAGCGUUAAUCGGAAUUACUGGGCGUAAAGCGUGCGCAGGCGGUUAUAUAAGACAGAUGUGAAAUCCCCGGGCUCAACCUGGGAACUGCAUUUGUGACUGUAUGGCUAGAGUACGGCAGAGGGGGAUGGAAUUCCGCGUGUAGCAGUGAAAUGCGUAGAUAUGCGGAGGAACACCGAUGGCGAAGGCAAUCCCCUGGGCCUGUACUGACGCUCAUGCACGAAAGCGUGGGGGGCAAACAG
rnacentral:rRNA from 1 species